UACGUAGGGUGCGAGCGUUAAUCGGAAUUACUGGGCGUAAAGCGUGCGCAGGCGGUUGUGCAAGACCGAUGUGAAAUCCCCGGGCUUAACCUGGGAAUGGCAUUGGUGACUGCAUUGCUGGAGUAUGGCAGAGGGGGGUGGAAUUCCACGUGUAGCAGUGAAAUGCGUAGAGAUGCGGAGGAACACCAGUGGCGAAAGCGGCUUCUGGUCCUUAACUGACGCUGAGGCGCGAAAGCUGGGGAGCGAACGGG
rnacentral:rRNA from 1 species